rnacentral:rRNA from 1 species
GACGAACCGUACGAACGUUAUUCGGAAUUACUGGGCUUAAAGGGUGCGUAGGCGGCGCAGUAAGUUGGGUGUGAAAUCCCUCGGCUUACCGAGGAAUUGCGCCCAAAACUACUGUGCUCGAGGGAGAUAGAGGUGAGCGGAACUUAGGGUGGAGCGGUGAAAUGCGUUGAUAUCCUAAGGAACACCGGUGGCGAAAGCGGCUCACUGGAUCUCUUCUGACGCUGAGGCACGAAAGCUAGGGUAGCAAACGGG